AUUCCAGCUCCAGUAGCGUAUAUUAAAGUUGUUGCAGUUAAAAAGCUCGUAGUUGGACUUCUGAUGUGGGACUGCGCCCCGGUAUUUUGCCGUUGGGUGCGGGCUCGCGUCUUCCUCUCGUAGUUGGAUGGUGCACUUAACUGGGUGCCUUCUGAAUAUGGGACCUUUACUUUGAAAAAAUUAGAGUGUUCAAAGCAGGCAAUCGCUUGAAUACAUUAGCAUGGAAUAAUAGAAUAGGACUUUGGUUCUAUUUUGUUGGUUUCUAGGACCGAAGUAAUGAUUAAUAGGGACAGUUGGGGGCAUUAGUAUUUAAUUGUCAGAGGUGAAAUUCUUGGAUUUAUGAAAGACUAACUACUGCGAAAGCAUUUGCCAAGGAUGUUUUCAUUA
rnacentral:rRNA from 1 species